AGAGCAGAUGCUCCCUUCAGAAGCCUAUGCAGUGGGGAGGGAUCCGCAAAGAGACAUCGAAUAGAACUCACCUGGCGCUCCUCAAUAAAACAAGCAUUUCACUGCCCACCACGGAGAGAAUGUUUUUGGCUGAGGGAAGACUACGUCUGCACAAGCUCUUUGUUAAAGUUCUCACUGAGUUCAUCCAUUCUUCUCCCAAGAUCGGCCAGUGGAAUCUGUUCUACACAAGUUAUAUCAAAGUCACAAUGUGUGAUCAUCCCCAAAUGCAGUGCAUUCAAACUUGCAGAUUUUAUGAACGCCCCCAUAUUCAUAUAAUCAGUUUCAUGGAACAUUGAUGGCUCUUUAUUUCUCAUUACAAGGACUUCUGACAAUAUUUGAAAUACAAGGGAUGGUUGAAAGAAACAAACUGAAAAAUAAGCAAAACAUCGUAAUGAGAUACUACCACACAUAUACCGGAAUGGCUACAAAGUAAAAAGAGUGACAAAUGUUGCAAGGACGUGGAGUAACCUGAACCCUCACAUGUUGUUGGUGGGAGGGAAAAUGGUACAACUGCUCUGGGGAAAGGUGUGACAAUUUCUCUUAAAACUAAACAUGUACCUACACUAUGACCUGGCAAUUCUACUCCUGGAUAUUUUCCCAAGAGAAAUAAA
rnacentral:lncRNA from 1 species